rnacentral:misc_RNA from 1 species
GUCGCAAUGCCCUAAUGCGAUACUACUUGAACAACUUUGUUGAUGGCACUAAACAGGUAUUGCUACUCAUACCAGCAAUUAGUUACUUCAUGUUACUAAGUUUGCAUCCAUUUUACCUACAUGUGCCAUGUGUUCAUAUGAAAAUUUGGAAAAGUUUUCUUUGAAUGAUACUGAAAUCAUGUAUCUGGGUGUAUGUGGGAUGU